rnacentral:rRNA from 1 species
UACGGAGGGUGCGAGCGUUGUCCGGAAUCACUGGGCGUAAAGGGCGCGUAGGCGGCAUGCCAAGCGUGUGGUGAAAGCCCGGGGCUCAACCCCGGGUCGGCCGUGCGGACUGGCAUGCUCGAGCACUGUAGGGGCGGGUGGAAUUCCGGGUGUAGCGGUGGAAUGCGUAGAGAUCCGGAAGAACACCGGUGGCGAAGGCGGCCCGCUGGGCAGGAAGGAAGCGUAAGCUUCCGGCUGACGCUGGAGGCGCGACAGCGUGGGGAGCAAACAGG